UGCGGAAUAAUUUAUAUAAAUUAUUUAUUUUACACAUAAAAGAACCCSAAAGGGUUUCGCAA
rnacentral:tRNA from 1 species